rnacentral:lncRNA from 1 species
AUAAAGAUCUUUAGACAUGAGAUUUAUUUUAGAACCAUGGUCGACCAAAGCAACUAUUGGUUCUUCUAUAUCUCCUACCUUCACCAAUACCUCAGUAGUUGCCCUUGCCCAAUGCUUUCGAGUAUAAUGGCUCAAAGUUUCCAUUUCCUUGUCACUAGAAUCUUCGAAACGUACUCGCUGAUUAUACCCAUUCUUUUCAUUUGUUGGUUGCUUGUAACCAAUAUCAACUUCUUCUUCAUCUCUACAUAUUCUUGCAUCAAUAGCAUGAUUCAUUCCAGUUUCGCUCAUUAAUUGCCUCUUUCGCUUAAUGCUGUCAAUGAUAACAUCAUGAAACUCCUUCUUUG